GUUUGUAGACAUUUUGAUGGUGGUCAUUAUGACUGGUGUGAGGUGAUAUCUCAUUGUAGUUUUGAUGUGCAUUUCUCUAAUAAUGACUGAUGUUGAGCAUCUUUUCAUGUGCAUGGCCAUCUGUAUGUCUUCUUUGGAGAAAUGUCUGUUUAGUUCUUUGGCCCAUUUUUUG